CAGUACCGUGAGGGAAAGGCGAAAAGAACCCCGGCGAGGGGAGUGAAAAAGAACCUGAAACCGUGUACGUACAAGCAGUGGGAGCCCCACCACUAAGCCAGUGGUGAACUCCACAUACGCAUCCUUUGCUGAGGAUACGGUUAACGGAGCGAAAGCGACGUUCAACCGCAAAAGAAGCAGAGGGGGCUUAGUGGUGGGG
rnacentral:rRNA from 1 species